CCCUGGUUGAUCCUGCCAGUAGUUAUAUGCUUGUCUCAAAGAUUAAGCCAUGCAUGUCUCAGUGCAAGCCGUAUUAAGGCGAUACCGCGAAUGGCUCAAUAUAUCAGUUUUGGUUCCUUAGAUCUUACUCGGUUACUUGGAUAACUGUGGUAAUUCUAGAGCUAAUACAUGCAAUCAGAACUCUGACCAGUGAUGGGAUGAGUGCUUUUAUUAGAUCAAAACCAAUCGACGGAGGGCCUCGCGUCCGAAGUCGUUAAUUUUGAUGAAUCUGGAUAACUUUUGCCGAUCGCAUGGUCCAGUACCGGCGACGCAUCUUUCAAAUGUCUGCCUUAUCAACUUUCGAUGGUAGUUUCUGCGACUACCAUGGUUGUCACGGGUAACGGGGAAUCAGGGUUCGAUUCCGGAGAGGGAGCCUGAGAAACGGCUACCACAUCCAAGGAAGGCAGCAGGCGCGCAAAUUACCCACUCCCGGCACGGGGAGGUAGUGACGAAAAAUAACGAUACGGGACUCUUACGAGGCCUCGUAAUCGGAAUGAGUACACUUUAAAUAUUUUAACGAGGAACAAUUGGAGGGCAAGUCUGGUGCCAGCAGCCGCGGUAAUUCCAGCUCCAAUAGCGUAUACUAAAAUUGUUGCGGUUAAAAAGCUCGUAGUUGCAUUUGUGCGCCGCGCUGUCGGUGCACCGCAUCCGCGGUGAUACUGACACGUCUGCGGAGCAUAUCGUCGGUGAGCCGGCGUUGUAACAAACGUCGGUUCAAUAUCAAAAUCCUAUCGCGGUGCUCUUCGGUGAGUGUCGAGAUGGGCCGACAAUUUUACUUUGAACAAAUUAGAGUGCUCAAAGCGGGCUCAAAAUGCUGCUUGAAUAUUUCGUGCAUGGAAUAAUAGAAUAUGAUCUCGGUUCUAUUUUGUUGGUUUUCAGAACUCCGAGGUAAUGAUUAAUAGGGAUAACUGGGGGCAUUCGUAUUGCGACGUUAGAGGUGAAAUUCUUGGAUCGUCGCAAGACGAACAUCAGCGAAAGCAUUUGCCAAAGGUGUUUUCAUCAAUCAAGAACGAAAGUUAGAGGUUCGAAGGCGAUUAGAUACCGCCCUAGUUCUAACCGUAAAUAUGUCAUCUAGCGAUCCGCCGACGUUACUACAAUGGCUCGGCGGGCAGCUUCCGGGAAACCAAAGAUUUUGGACUCCGGGGGGAGUAUGGUUGCAAAGCUGAAACUUAAAGGAAUUGACGGAAGGGCACCACCAGGAGUGGAGCCUGCGGCUUAAUUUGACUCAACACGGGAAAUCUCACCAGGCCCGGACACCGGAAGGAUUGACAGAUUAACAGCUCUUUCUUGAUUCGGUGGGUGGUGGUGCAUGGCCGUUCUUAGUUGGUGGAGCGAUUUGUCUGGUUAAUUCCGGUAACGAACGAGACUCUAGCCUGCUAAAUAGGCGUCGCCAUUUAGGUGUGCGUGGCUUCAUGUCGCGCAA
rnacentral:rRNA from 1 species